rnacentral:rRNA from 1 species
AGUGGAGCCUGCGGCUUAAUUUGACUCAACACGGGAAACCUCACCAGGCCCGGACACCGGAAGGAUUGACAGAUUGAGAGCUCUUUCUUGAUUCGGUGGGUGGUGGUGCAUGGCCGUUCUUAGUUGGUGGAGCGAUUUGUCUGGUUAAUUCCGAUAACGAACGAGACUCUAGCCUGCUAACUAGGCGUAUUUCGACAUCCCAAAGGCCCGCCGGUUUGGGGUUUCGGCUCCUUUCUGCGCGCGGUUUUUACUGUCGGCGUACAAACAAUUCUUCUUAGAGGGACAGGCGGCAUCUAGCCGCACGAGAUUGAGCAAUAACAGGUCUGUGAUGCCCUUAGAUGUUCUGGGCCG